AAGUGAAACUUCUUUAGAAUCGUUGUGAUUUCAAACCGGAUGCAACGAAAAAACGACAGGUAAGAGACACAAAUACAAAAAUGUGUAGGAUGAAGCCAGGGGAAAGAAUGAGACAGAAAUAUACAUACAAUUUGUAUAUUAUCGGUCUCUCCUCUUUGUUCCAUACUUCGUAGCGUCCCCACUCCCGUCUUCUAAGCAUAGUCGCCUGUAAUUUGUGAGCCAGAGCGAGAGAGCAGAUGUCAGUGUGUAUGUAUAUUGCACACUGUUUAAUACGUGCUUGUAUUUGAGCAUUUAAUGUGUGUAGUGCAUGUGAAAACUACGUGAGCUUACUGUACACUGUAUGCGGCUGCGUAUUACAGCGUUUUAGUAAGAUAGCGUGGUGUGUUAUUAUUUAACUGUUUGUGAGUAUUUUUAUAUCUUGUACUAAAUAAUAAAUUUUAUAAAAUGCCGAAAACUAAUGCCGAAAUGUGUCGUCAAUAUCGACGCAAAAAAAAUGAAAUUAAAAUGAAAAAAAAUUCAGCAAAAAGUUCAACAGAACGUAGUCGCGAGUUUCGUGCACGUAAAAAACAAUUAUUGAACAAUCAAAAUAGAUGUUCAGAUAUAAGUGUCAAUGUGACUGAUGUAAUAAAUGACCGAAGAGCGUCAGUAUCUACAAUUGAUCUACAACAUGAAUUUCGAAGGCUGAACUUGAAUCGACUUGAGACAAUUACAAAUGUUUUAUAUGAUUUCUUAAAUAAAAGAAAAGGGAUGUCACUGUUUACCUUUAACUGUCAAAGCUUACGAGCUCAUGUACAAGAUCUGCAACAUGACAAUAUAGUGUCAUCGUCAAAUUUUUAAUUCUUUCGGAGACAUGGAUGAAUAAUGAAGAUAUUGUAGACAUUCCAAAUUUUAAUAUUGUUGUUAAUUACAAAAGACCACGUACGAGGGCAGGCGGAGUAGCAAUUUAUCACAACGUAAAUGAUGGAGCCCGUGUUGUUACGCCACAAAUGGAUCUCAAUGCACAACAGCUAGAAUCAUUGUCUGUUCAGCUUUCGAAAGUUGGAGAAAUAUGUGCCUGUGAGAGCAGAAAUGACCAAGGAGAUUUAAUUUUGAUCGUAGCAAUUUACAUCUUUCCCCAACCAAUCAAUAAAAUCAGUUAUUGAAUUUAUACAUGAAAAUUUGAUCAAAUAUACCCCAAAGGUAUCGCGAAUUCUCAAAAAGAAUUAUGAUAAAAUUCCGAUGAUUUUAAGUGGGGAUUUUAACAUAAAUUUUGCAUCAGAUACAGCGCUUCCUUUGAUUGAGUUUCUCGAUACAACAUUUUAUUUAAAAAUGUGUAACAAUCGCACUCAAUCAACUACAAGAUCAAAAACGGUAAUAGAUGCAGUGUUCCAAAGAUAUAUCAACCAAAUUGAAACUAAAAUAUUUGUAUCGUAUUUUAGUUAUCAUAAGCCUCUUGUAUCAUUUGUUGAAACUGAAAAUAUGGAACUUGAGUAAUAGAUUAUGUAACAUAUGUUAAAUAAAAUAUAAAAUAUCUUUUAAAAUUAA